rnacentral:rRNA from 1 species
GACAACGCUUGCGGCGUGCCUAAGAAAUGCAAGUCGAGCGAGGUUUAGGCUUCGGCCGACGACCUAGCGGCGAACGGUCGCGUAACACGUAAGCAACCUGCCCUAAAGUUGGGGAUAGCCCGCCGAAAGGCGGAUUAAUACCGAAUGUGGAUAUGAUUUCGCAUGUGAUUAUAUCUGAAGCAGCGAUGCGCUUUAGGAUGGGCUUGCGGCCUAUCAGUUAGUUGGUGUGGGUAACGGCCUACCAAGACGACGACGGGUAGCUGGUCUGAGAGGAUGGUCAGCCGGAUUGGGACUGAGACACGGCCCAGACUCCUACGGGGGGCAGCAAUUAGGAAUCUUGCGCAAUGGGCGAAAGCCUGACGCAGCGACGCCGCGUGACUGAUGAAGUCUUUCGAGAUGUAAAGGUCUUUUGUUGGGGACGAAGGAAGUGACGGUACCCGACGAAUAAGCCCUGGCUAACUACGUG